UACGGGGGGAGCAAGCGUUGUUCGGAUUUACUGGGCGUAAAGGGCGCGUAGGCGGCGUGACAAGUCACUUGUGAAAUCUCCGGGCUUAACUCGGAACGGUCAAGUGAUACUGUCGUGCUAGAGUACAGAAGGGGCAACUGGAAUUCCCGGUGUAGAGGUGAAAUUCGUAGAUAUCGGGAGGAACACCGGUGGCGAAGGCGGCGACCUGGGUCGAGACUGACGCUGAGGCGCGAAAGCGUGGGGAGCAAACAGG
rnacentral:rRNA from 1 species